rnacentral:rRNA from 1 species
GACGAACGCUGGCGGCGUGCUUAACACAUGCAAGUCGAACGGAAAGGCCCUGCUUUUGUGGGGUGCUCGAGUGGCGAACGGGUGAGUAACUCGUGAGUAACCUGCCCUUGACUUUGGGAUAACUUCAGGAAACUGGGGCUAAUACCGGAUAGGAGCUCCUGCUGCAUGGUGGGGGUUGGAAAGUUUCGGCGGUUGGGGAUGGACUCGCGGCUUAUCAGCUUGUUGGUGGGGUAGUGGCUUACCAAGGCUUUGACGGGUAGCCGGCCUGAGAGGGUGACCGGCCACAUUGGGACUGAGAUACGGCCCAGACUCCUACGGGAGGCAGCAGUGGGGAAUAUUGCACAAUGGGCGGAAGCCUGAUGCAGCAACGCCGCGUGCGGGAUGACGGCCUUCGGGUUGUAAACCGCUUUCGCCUGUGACGAAGCGUGAGUGACGGUAAUGGGUAAAGAAGUACCGGCUAACUACGUG